rnacentral:rRNA from 1 species
UACGGAGGGUGCGAGCGUUGUCCGGAAUCACUGGGCGUAAAGGGCGCGUAGGCGGCCUGAUAAGUAGGGGGUGAAAUCCUGCGGCUUAACCGCAGGGCUGCCUUCUAAACUGUCAGGCUCGAGCACAGUAGAGGCAGGUGGAAUUCCCGGUGUAGCGGUGGAAUGCGUAGAGAUCGGGAGGAACACCAGAGGCGAAAGCGGCGACCUGGGUCGAUACUGACGCUGAGGCGCGAAAGCGUGGGAGCAACAGG